rnacentral:rRNA from 1 species
UACGUAGGGUGCGAGCGUUAAUCGGAAUUACUGGGCGUAAAGCGUGCGCAGGCGGUGAUGUAAGACAGAUGUGAAAUCCCCGGGCUCAACCUGGGAACUGCAUUUGUGACUGCAUCGCUGGAGUGCGGCAGAGGGGGAUGGAAUUCCGCGUGUAGCAGUGAAAUGCGUAGAUAUGCGGAGGAACACCGAUGGCGAAGGCAAUCCCCUGGGCCUGCACUGACGCUCAUGCACGAAAGCGUGGGGAGCAAAUAGG